UGACUCCAGAGUCAGACUGCCUUACUUCUGUUGUGUUAUGUUAUCUUCCUAGUUGGUGCCUUUGUUUCAUUUAUCAAACACUCCUAAAGGAAAUCAACCCUGAAUAUUCAUUGGAAGGGCUGAUGCCGAAGCUGAAGCUCUAGUACUUUGGCCAUAUGAUGUGAAGAGCUGACUCACAGGAAAAGACCCUGGUGGUAGAAAAAAUUGGGGGCAUGAGGAGAAGGGGACAACAGAGGAUGAGACGGUUGGAUGGCAUCACCGACUUAAUGGAGAUGAGUUCAAACAAACUCCGUUAGUGAAGGACAGGGAAGCCUGGUGUGCUGCAGUCCAUGGGUUUACAAAGAGUCAGAAACGACUGAGUGACUGAACAACAACAAUAAUCAAACAUUCAGAGAGUGCCUACAGUGUGCACUGCCCUUUGACAAGGAUCAACAAGGCAGCGAGACAUGCCCUCCAGCUGCUUGCAGUCCAAAUCAGUGCCAUAAAACUGAUGGGAAGGAGUGCUCAGGAAUCCCAGAAGCGAAAGCUGCAGAGGAAUGAUAAGAUUCCAGAAAAGAGGAUGAAUUGAGAAGUAUUUCUUCUUCUAUUUUUUUGGAAGACUGUGGAAAUUGGCUUUAAUUCCCUUUUAAGUGUUUGGAAGAAUUCAUCAGUGAAGCCUGGUCCUGGAAUUUUCUUUGGGGGAAUUUUUUGAUUACUAAUUCAACCUUAUUGUUUGAUAUUGGUUUACUCAGAUGUUUUAUUUCUCCUUGAGCCACUUUUGAUAGUUUUUUUCUUCAUGGGAAUUUGCCCACUUCAUCAUAGUUUUCUAAUUUGUUGGCGUGCCAUUGUUGAUGGCCUUAUAUUCCUUUUUCUUUCUGUAAGGUCAAUAAUGGGGCUCCCUCUUUCAUUCCUGAUUGUAUUAAUUUGAUUCUUCUCUCUCAUUUUCUUCAUCUGUCAAGCUAAAUGUUUGUCAAUUUUGUUGAUCUUUUCAAAGAACCACUGUAGUAAGCAAGAAGGAGCAAGAUUUACUUGCUCAUGUUGCAAAACUUCCCAUGUAGCGAGGCUCCAAGUAGGUUAAUUCAGCAGCUGUGGUGUCAUGAAGGAUCCAGAUCACUUCCACAUGUCCGCCCUGUGAUCUUCAUCUUGGGGUGGCCCUUGGUUGCCCCUCUCCAUGAUUGGCAUAUCUACAGGUAUCCGUGUAGAUGUGAUCGUCUCCAAAAGAAGAGUAAAAAACCAAAAUUUUUUUCAAGACUUCCC
ensembl:lncRNA